rnacentral:lncRNA from 1 species
AUUAGGGUGUGGAGGUAAAUUACUUACUAUAAAUUUCUACAAUAUGUGAUUGCUUGUAGACUUUUGUUUUUCAGCCACUAUUCUGCCUGGUUAAUCUUACAGAUUAUCACUGUGAGCCAGGGUAUCCAGGGGAUCCUGGAGAUGAUGGACACUUUGGAGCUCCAGGAAACAAAGGCCUCAAAGGAUAUAAAGGUUGUCCUGGCGAAUGUGAAUGUACCUCUGGUAUGGGGACCCCAGGGCCCCCAGGACCAUUAGGUUUUCCAGGCCCUCCAGGAAUACCUGGUGACCAAGGUAUUCACGGGGACCCUGGACAAAAAGGAGAUGAGGGUGCAACAGGACCACAAGGUUUCCAAGGGAUUCCUGGUUUGAAAGGACACAAGGGUGAAAAGGGUGAAUCUUCUGCAGUUGGAGGUAAAGGUAAGUUCUUAAAAUGACAUUUUCAGAGUGAGUAGUUGUGUUUCAAGGUCUCAAUUACUUGGAAAUGAAUUAUAAAGCUUUACAAUUUUGCCUUCUAA